CGGUACCUGCAGAAGAAGCACCGGCUAACUAUGUGCCAGCCGCCGCGGUAAUACAUAGGGUGCAAGCGUUGUCCGGAAUUAUUGGGCGUAAAGAGCUCGUAGGUGGUUCGUCACGUCGGAUGUGAAAAUCUGGGGCUUAACCCCAGACCUGCAUUCGAUACGGGCGAGCUUGAGUAUGGUAGGGGAGUCUGGAAUUCCUGGUGUAGCGGUGGAAUGCGCAGAUAUCAGGAGGAACACCAAUGGCGAAGGCAGGACUCUGGGCCAUUACUGACACUGAGGAGCGAAAGCGUGGGGAGCGAACAGGAUUAGAUACCCUGGUAGUCCACGCCGUAAACGGUGGGCACUAGUUGUGGGGACCUUCCACGGUCUCUGCGACGCAGCUAACGCAUUAAGUGCCCCGCCUGGGGAGUACGAUCGCAAGAUUAAAACUCAAAUGAAUUGACGG
rnacentral:rRNA from 1 species